rnacentral:tRNA from 3 species
GUGGCGGGUAGCCAAGUUGGUAAAGGCACCAUAUCCUUAUUCACUCCUUGCCCUAACCGGCCGAAGAAUUGAGGGUUAUCGUUUUGGGAACGGGUAAUCGCGGGUUCGAGUCCCGCUCCGCCACACCA